GAUUAAAUAGCUCAGUUGGGAUUGCGUUAGACUGAAUAUCUAAAAGUCCCUAGUUCGAUUCCAGGUUCAGACA
rnacentral:tRNA from 1 species